ACAUCCAGAGACAGAUACAGGGGAUACCCUAGAGCAGACACUGACAUGUACCUACCAACAUAGGUCCCAGGAUAAUCAUAUAAACCUCAACUUAGUCAUCAAGGAGAGUCACCUUUCAACUGAUUGUCCACUGCACACCUACAACCUCUCAGCCUGCUUGGCCUCAGUAGAUUCCAUACUUGGAACUUCUGGAAAACCCUGCUGGUGGUGGUUGCACUACCCUACUGGGUACCUGAUCUGAAACCUGC